AUACGGAGGAUGCGAGCGUUAUCCGGAUUUAUUGGGUUUAAAGGGUGCGCAGGCGGCGCGUUAAGUCAGCGGUGAAAUGUCCCGGCUCAACCGGGGCACUGCCGUUGAUACUGGCGUGCUGGAGUACGGACGGCGCCGGCGGAAUGUGUCAUGUAGCGGUGAAAUGCUUAGAUAUGCCACAGAACACCGAUCGCGAAGGCAGCUGGCGAGGCCGGGACUGACGCUGAGGCACGAAAGCGUGGGGAUCAAACAGGAUUAGAUACCCUGGUAGUCCACGCAGUAAACGAUGAGGACUUGUUGUCGGCGAUAGAAUGUCGGUGACAAAGCGAAAGCGAUAAGUCCUCCACCUGGGGAGUACGAUCGCAAGGUUGAAACUCAAAUGAAUUGACGGGG
rnacentral:rRNA from 1 species